UGGGGAAUUUUGGACAAUGGGGGCAACCCUGAUCCAGCAAUGCCGCGUGUGUGAAGAAGGCCUUCGGGUUGUAAAGCACUUUUGUCCGGAAAGAAAACGCCGUGGUUAAUACCCGUGGCGGAUGACGGUACCGGAAGAAUAAGCACCGGCUAACUACGUGCCAGCAGCCGCGGUAAUACGUAGGGUGCAAGCGUUAAUCGGAAUUACUGGGCGUAAAGCGUGCGCAGGCGGUCCGCUAAGACAGAUGUGAAAUCCCCGGGCUUAACCUGGGAACUGCAUUUGUGACUGGCGGGCUAGAGUAUGGCAGAGGGGGGUAGAAUUCCACGUGUAGCAGUGAAAUGCGUAGAGAUGUGGAGGAAUACCGAUGGCGAAGGCAGCCCCCUGGGCCAAUACUGACGCUCAUGCACGAAAGCGUGGGGGAGCAAACAGGAUUAGAUACCCUGGUAGUCCACGCCCUAAACGAUGUCAACUAGUUGUCGGGUCUUCAUUGACUUGGUAACGUAGCUAACGCGUGAAGUUGACCGCCUGGGGAGUACGGUCGCAAGGUUAAAAACU
rnacentral:rRNA from 1 species